CGCCCCAGACAAGGAUGCUCAAUGACCUGGUGGAAUUCUGCGACCAGAUGGGGCUGCCCGUGGACUUCAGCUCCGCAGGAGCCCUCAAUAAAAGCCUGACCCAAACAUUUGGAGAUGACAAGUACUCACUGGCCCGGAAGGAGGUGCUCACCAACAUGUGCUCCCGGCCCAUGCAGCUCUGCUGGGUUUGAAGCCAUCAGGGCCUGCUUGGACCUGGCCGCCGUGACCUGCCCCCAGUCACAAGUGUCUGCCCGGCCAAGCACCUGCGGCACCCACAGCGGAGAGGGGCUGGGCCGUGCCCAUUGGGCUCUCUCUGUUCUACACUGCAGUGGCUCUAGGCCUUGCAGAGAAGGCACAGCAGCCCCUAAGUCUCAGAACUGCCUCUGGCUCUGCCCUGCUGGGGCCCCUGCCAUGCCCCUGCCUUUAACGCCACCACCUCCAAGGAGGUACAAGCCAAGCUGGAGCUCCAGAGAUCGCAGCCACUCCUGAGUCAGCCAGAGCCUGAAAAGGCUGCAUUCUCCUGGCUCGCCUCCCAGGGAGCUCAGAGGCGCCCUUGCCCGCGAAUCCGAUGGCAGAGAGUUACCAGGUCUGCGGUGCUCCUGUUCCUCAGCCCCGGGAACUGGGGUGGGGACAGGGCAGGGCGGCAGCAGAGAGCACAGAAAGGUGUGAGGGGGCACGCAGUCCCCAGUGAGCUUCUGCAUCAGGACACCAGGGCUGUCCCA